rnacentral:rRNA from 1 species
CCUACGGGCGGCAGCAGUGAGGAAUUUUCCACAAUGGGCGAAAGCCUGAUGGAGCAACGCCGCGUGGGUGAAGAAGGUCUUCGGAUCGUAAAACCCUGUUGUUAGAGAAGAAAGUGCGUGAGAGUAACUGUUCACGUUUCGACGGUAUCUAACCAGAAAACCACGGCUAACUACGUGCCAGCAGCCGCGGUAAUACGUAGGUGGCAAGCGUUAUCCGGAUUUAUUGGGCGUAAAGGGAACGCAGGCGGUCUUUUAAGUCUGAUGUGAAAGCCUUCGGCUUAACCGGAGUAGUGCAUUGGAAACUGGGAGACUGGAGUGCAGAAGAGGAGAGUGGAACUCCAUGUGUAGCGGUGAAAUGCGUAGAUAUAUGGAAGAACACCAGUGGCGAAAGCGGCUCUCUGGUCUGUAACUGACGCUGAGGUUCGAAAGCGUGGGUAGCAAACAGGAUUAGAUACCCUGGUAGUC